ACGGAGGUCCCAAGCGUUGUUCGGAAUCACUGGGCUUAAAGGGCGUGUAGGCGGGUCGGUACGUACCGUGUGAAAUCCCCUGGCUCAACCAAGGAACCGCUCGGUAUACGAUCGGUCUUGAGGCAGGUAGAGGCGCCUGGAACCUUAGGUGGAGCGGUGAAAUGCGUAGAUAUCUAAGGGAACGCCGGUGGCGAAAGCGGGGCGCUGGGCCUGUCCUGACGCUGAGACGCGAAAGCGUAGGGAGCAAACGU
rnacentral:rRNA from 1 species